rnacentral:rRNA from 1 species
GACGAACGCUGGCGGCGUGCUUAACACAUGCAAGUCGAACGGAAAGGCCCUGCUUUUGUGGGGUGCUCGAGUGGCGAACGGGUGAGUAACACGUGAGUAACCUGCCCUUGACUUUGGGAUAACUUCAGGAAACUGGGGCUAAUACCGGAUAGGAGCUCCUGCUGCAUGGUGGGGGUUGGAAAGUUUCGGCGGUUGGGGAUGGACUCGCGGCUUAUCAGCUUGUUGGUGGGGUAGUGGCUUACCAAGGCUUUGACGGGUAGCCGGCCUGAGAGGGUGACCGGCCACAUUGGGACUGAGAUACGGCCCAGACUCCUACGGGAGGCAGCAGUGGGGAAUAUUGAACAAUGGGCGGAAGCCUGAUGCAGCAACGCCGCGUGCGGGAUGACGGACUUAGGGUUGUAAACCGCUUUCGCCUGUGACGAAGCGUGAGUGACGGUAAUGGGUAAAGAAGCACCGGCUAACUACGUG